AUUGAACGCUGGCGGCAUGCUUUACACAUGCAAGUCGAACGGUAACAGGCCGCAAGGUGCUGACGAGUGGCGAACGGGUGAGUAAUGCAUCGGAACGUGCCCAGUCGUGGGGGAUAACGCAGCGAAAGCUGCGCUAAUACCGCAUACGAUCUAUGGAUGAAAGCGGGGGACCGAAAGGCCUCGCGCGAUUGGAGCGGCCGAUGUCAGAUUAGGUAGUUGGUGGGGUAAAGGCCCACCAAGCCAACGAUCUGUAGCUGGUCUGAGAGGACGACCAGCCACACUGGGACUGAGACACGGCCCAGACUCCUACGGGAGGCAGCAGUGGGGAAUUUUGGACAAUGGGCGCAAGCCUGAUCCAGCAAUGCCGCGUGCAGGAAGAAGGCCUUCGGGUUGUAAACUGCUUUUGUACGGAACGAAACGGUCCGGGUUAAUACCCUGGGCUAAUGACGGUACCGUAAGAAUAAGCACCGGCUAACUACGUGCCAGCAGCAGCCGCAGUAA
rnacentral:rRNA from 1 species